rnacentral:rRNA from 1 species
GUGGGGAAUUUUGGACAAUGGGGGCAACCCUGAUCCAGCAAUGCCGCGUGAGUGAAGAAGGCCUUCGGGUUGUAAAGCUCUUUUGUCAGGGAAGAAACGGCGGGAGCUAAUACCUUCUGCUAAUGACGGUACCUGAAGAAUAAGCACCGGCUAACUACGUGCCAGCAGCCGCGGUAAUACGUAGGGUGCAAGCGUUAAUCGGAAUUACUGGGCGUAAAGCGUGCGCAGGCGGUUGUGCAAGACCGAUGUGAAAUCCCCGGGCUUAACCUGGGAAUGGCAUUGGUGACUGCACGGCUAGAGUGUGUCAGAGGGGGGUAGAAUUCCACGUGUAGCAGUGAAAUGCGUAGAGAUGUGGAGGAAUACCGAUGGCGAAGGCAGCCCCCUGGGAUAACACUGACGCUCAUGCACGAAAGCGUGGGGAGCAAACAGG